GCCCCCCUGGCCGGUCGGGGGCCCUGGAGGGUGGCGGCUCCACCAGGGUCUGGCCUUCGGGCGGUCCGCCCCAGCCGCUGGCAUCCCGCUGACCAAAAGGGUGAGGAACACCCUGAAAGCUCAACGCACAAUGAUCACGCAAAGCACGUUCAACUGCACUGGCGAUGAAAUUCCAGUCUGGCUGCCAGCGUGCAGGUCACUAAAAGCUUGGCUCUGUCCUGCUCACCCGCAGGAGUUCCCCGGCACCCAGCUCGGCGCCUGGCCCGGGGAAUGCGGGCUGCACGGCUGGCUGCCCACCCGUGAGAGGCUCGUCCUUCCCUGCAAUUCCCUUCACCAAGGCUUCCCUGCGUCUGCCACCAGUGGAUCGAUCAUGUGACAUCAGAAACAGAAUCAGAAGUCUCCUGUGGAUCAAGCUUUAAAGUGUAAUGUAUAACAUUCAAAAUCAUUCUUUGACUCUAGAACGGAAUUAUAUCUUACUUGGUUGUAUUUAUCCAAAAGCAGCUGAAGAUUUGGGAAGCAACUGAGCUGUUUGCACCUAAUAUUGAUAAUAGAAGAAUGUUAUGUGUAGAGAAAUAAGGUCACAAUUAUGAGCUUCUGAGUUAAAA